CCCGCUCAGAAACUCAAUGAAUUGACGGGGGCCCGCACAAGCGGAGGAGCAUGUGGUUAAUUCGAUGAUACGCGAGGAACCUUACCUGGGCUCGAACGUAAGAUGACUGUAGGUGAAAGCUUACAUCUCUUCGGAGCAUUUUACGAGGUGCUGCAUGGUUGUCGUCAGCUCGUGCCGUGAGGUGUCGGGUUAAGUCCCAUAACGAGCGCAACCCCUACCUUUAGUUGCCAUCAGGUUAAGCUGGGGACUCUAAAGGAACUGCCUACGCAAGUAGUGAGGAAGGCGGGGAUGACGUCAAAUCAGCACGGCCCUUACGUCCAGGGCUACACACGUGCUACAAUGGCCGAUACAGAGGGCAGCUACCUGGUGACAGGAUGCAAAUCUCCAAAGUCGGUCUCAGUUCGGAUCGGAGUCUGCAACCCGACUCCGUGAAGUUGGAUUCGCUAGUAAUCGCGCAUCAGCCAUGGCGCGGUGAAUACGUUCCCGGGCCUU
rnacentral:rRNA from 1 species